UAUCGGAUUGAUACUAAGCCAUGCGAGUCAUUGUAGCAAUACAAGGCAUACGGCUCAGUAACGCGUAGUCAACCUAACCUAUGGACGGGAAUAACCUCGGGAAACUGAGAAUAAUGCCCGAUAGAACAUUAUGCCUGGAAUGGUUUAUGUUCCAAAUGAUUUAUCGCCGUAGGAUGGGACUGCGGCCUAUCAGUUUGUUGGUGAGGUAAUGGCCCACCAAGACUAUUACAGGUACGGGCUCUGAGAGGAGUAGCCCGGAGAUGGGUACUGAGACACGGACCCAGGCCCUAUGGGGCGCAGCAGGCGAGAAAACUUUGCAAUGUGCGAAAGCACGACAAGGUUAAUCCGAGUGGUUUCUGCUAAAGGAACCUUUUGUCAGUCCUAGAAACACUGAUGAAUAAGGGGUGGGCAAGUUCUGGUGUCAGCCGCCGCGGUAAAACCAGCACCUCAAGUGGUCAGGAUGAUUAUUGGGCCUAAAGCAUCCGUAGCCGGCUCUGUAAGUUUUCGGUUAAAUCUGUACGCUCAACGUACAGGCUGCCGGGAAUACUGCAAAGCUAGGGAGUGGGAGAGGUAGACGGUACUCGGUAGGAAGGGGUAAAAUCCUUUGAUCUAUUGAUGACCACCUGUGGCGAAGGCGGUCUACCAGAACACGUCCGACGGUGAGGGAUGAAAGCUGGGGGAGCAAACCGGAUUAGAUACCCGGGUAGUCCCAGCUGUAAACCAUGCAAACUCAGUGAUGCACUGGCUUGUGGCCAAUGCAGUGCUGCAGGGAAGCCGUUAAGUUUGCCGCCUGGGAAGUACGUACGCAAGUAUGAAACUUAAAGGAAUUGGCGGGGGAGCACCACAAGGGGUGAAGCCUGCGGUUCAAUUGGAUUC
rnacentral:rRNA from 1 species